UACGGGGGGGGGCAAGCGUUGUUCGGAAUUACUGGGCGUAAAGGGCUCGUAGGUGGCCAACUAAGUCAUACGUGAAAUCCCUCGGCUUAACCGGGGAACUGCGUCUGAUACUGGAUGGCUUGAGUUUGGGAGAGGGAUGCGGAAUUCCAGGUGUAGCGGUGAAAUGCGUAGAUAUCUGGAGGAACACCGGUGGCGAAGGCGGCAUCCUGGACCAACACUGACACUGAUGAGCGAAAGCCAGGGGAGCAAACGGG
rnacentral:rRNA from 1 species